rnacentral:lncRNA from 8 species
AUGAUUUCGCUAUAUCGUCUGACGACGAUGACAGCCGUGACACGAUUUCUCAUAAGCAGCUUCCAAGACACGGUAUGUGACAGGACUGUGGCCUGCCUGGGAGUGGAGGACCAGUGCUUUAGUGCCAGUGCAAUACCUGGCUCUACCAAUUCUACCACGGUGAAUCUCCAGGGCUGUACAACUUCCACCGUGUGCAACGCUAUUGAUCAACUGCUGCCCUUAGGGAAGACCAUGAGUGACAUCACCACUGUGAAUUUUACCUGUAAGACAGCCCUUAACACAGCCUGGUCCAUCACACUGAGCCUUGUCCCUCUGCUACUGGGCCUCACCAUCAGCAAAUUAAUCUGAUAUAAACAGAGAUGAACAUAUUGGGACUCAUCUGACAACAUAAUGCAUUGAUUAGAAAAAAGAAAAUGUACAAUGAUUUUCAUGUAUUGUGAAAGAUGUACUUCAAGUGAAAUGAUGCUAUAUGGAAUUUGCCAGAUGAUGCCCUGUUACAUUAUAUAGUGUUCUUGUUUGAUGGAAUAGUUUCCUAUAUACUGUAUUACUCUGCACACUGAGUGAAUAAAACAUUAAGAACACCUUCUCUUUCCACAACAGACUGACCAGGUGAAUCCAGGUGAAAGCUAUGAUCCCUUAUUGAUGUCACUUGUUAAAUCCACGUCAAUCAGUGUAGAUUAAGGGGAGGAUACAGAAGGAUUUUUAAGGCUUGAGAAAUGGAUUGUGGUUGUGUCAUUCAGAAGGGGGAAUGGGCAAGACAAAAGAUUUAAGUGCCUUUGAACAGGGUAUGGUAGCAUGUGCCAGGCGCACCGGUUUGGGUCAAGAACUGCAACGCUGCUGGAUUUUUCACACUUAACAGUUUCCGUGCGUAUCAAGAAUGGUCCACCACCCAAAGGACAUCCAGCCAGCUUGACACAACUAUGGAAAGUAUUGGAGUCAAUAAUGGCAAGCAUCCAUGUGGAACGCUUUCGACACCUUGUAGAGUCUAUGCCCCGAAAAUUUUUGAAAUUUCAGAUGCCAGUGCAACUCAAUUUAUUGUAAUUUCAAUUCUAUUUAACCUUUAUUUAACUAGGCAAGUCAGUUAAGAACAAAUUCUUAUUUACAACGACUGCCUACCCCGGCCAAACCCGGACAACGCUGGGCAAAUUGUGUGCCACCCUAUGGGACCAAUCACGGCCAGAUGUGAUAAGGCCUGGAUCGAAGCAGGGACUGUAGUGACGCCUCUUGCACUGAGAUGCAGUGCCUUAGACCGCUGCGCCACUCUGGAGACAAAAUAUUAGGAAGCUGUUCGUAAUGUUUGCUAAACUAACUGUACAUUCUAUCAAGUGUGCAUUCCUAAAAGUUGAAAACAAAUCAUAUUUUUCCAUGCCAGUAAAGUUUAUAUCACUCUACCAAAAUAUAAAUAAUGUCAUCUUAUUGUGAAAUCACACAAAAAUGUUUUAGUAGGAUUGUAGGCUUAUUUUUUACAGAUAAGGAUAAUAACACUAUUAAAUCCAAAUAAUAACAGAGUGUAUGGGGGAACCAUGACCUACACUUAUUCUACAGAGGAGAGGAACACCUGCCGAGGAACAGGAUGAAGUUGGUCUUGUGUCUAUAGAGGGUGGUCUGCCAUUAAGUGUUCGUCUUGGAUCAUACAGAACGUCACUAUCAUAGAAAUAGGAGUUAUAAUACUGAUUUAAUAGGAUUUCUAGGGUCACCAUGCCAGUGAUGUCCUCCUCGUUUACCUCCACAAAGGCCUUGUGGGCCACCAUAGAAAGGAAGAGCCCCCCCUCCCCAUCCUUGUUCAUCCAAUAAUUUAUUGGCCCUGCCCCCAUUGAAUGUCUCCCUCACCUGUGCUAAACUAACAACUGGACGGUCACCUUUGUACCUACAGUAUAUACAGUUGAAGUCUGACGUUUACAUACACCUUAGCCAAAUACAUUUAAACUCAGUUUUCACAAUUCCCGACAUUUAAUCCUUGUAAAAAUUCCCUGUCUUAGGUCAGUUAGGAUCACCACUUUAUUUUAAGAAAGUGAAAUGUCAGAAUAAUAGUAGAGCGAAUUAUUUAAUUCAGCUUUUCUGUCUUUCAUCACAUUCCCAGUGGGUCAGAAGUUUACAUACACUCAAUUAGUAUUUGGUAGCAUUGCCUUUAAAUUGUUUAACUUGGGUCAAAUGUUUCGGGUAGCCUUCCACAAGCUUCCCACAGUAAGUUGGGUGAAUUUUGGCCCAUUCCUCCUGACAGAGCUUGUGUAACUGAGUCAGGUCUGUAGGCCUCCUUGCACACACUUUUUCAGUUCUGCCCACACAUUUUCUAUGGGAUUGAGGUCAGGGCUUUGUGAUGGCCACUCCAAUACCUUGACUUUGUUGUCCUUAAGCCAUUUUGCAACAACUUUGGGAGUAUGCUUGGGGUCAUUUUCCAUUUGGAAGACCCAUUUGCGACCAAGUUUAACUUCCUGACUGAUGUCUUGAGAUGUUGCUUCAAUAUAUCCACAUAAUUUUCCUACCUCAUGAUACCAUCUAUUUUGUUAAGUGCACCAGUCCCUCCUGCAGCAAAGCACCCCCACAACAUAAUACUGCCACCCCUGUGCUUCACGGUUGGGAUGGUGUUCUUCGGCUUGCAAGGCUCCCCCUUUUUCCUCCAAACAUAACGAUGGUCAUGAUGGCCAAACAGUUCUAUUUUUAUUUAAUCAGACCAGAGGACAUUUCUCCAAAAAGUACGAUCUUUGUCCCCAUGUGCAGUUGCAAACCGUAGUCUUUUUUAUGUUGGUUUUGAGCGGCCUUUCAGUUAUGUCGAUAUAGGACUGGUUUUACUGUGGAUAUAGAUCAUUUUGUACCUGUUUCCUUCAGCAUCUUCACAAGGUCCUUUGCUGUUGUUCUGGGAUUGAUUUGCACUUUUCGCACCAAAGUACGUUCAUCUCUAGGAGACGGGCCUACCUUCAGGCACUGAGUUUGAAGGUAGGCCUUGAAAUACAUCCACAGGUACACCUCCAAUUGACUCAAAUGAUGUCAAUUAGCCUAUUAGAAGCUUCUAAAGCCAUUUCUGGAAUUUUCCAAGCUGUUUAAAUGGCACAGUCAACUUAGUGUAUGUAAACUUCUGACCCACUGGAAUUGUGAUGCUGUGAAUUACAAGUGAAAUAAUCUGUCUGUAAACAAUUGUUUGAAAAAAUUACUUGUGUCAAGGACAAAGUAGAUGUCCUAACCGACUUGCCAAAACCACAGUUUGUUAACAAGAAAUUUGUGGAGUGUUUGAAAAACGAGUUUUAAUGACUCCAACCUAAGUGUAUGUAAACUUCCGACAUCAACUGUAUAUCCAUCCUGCCCUGCCUGUCUAAAGUCUCCGAAAGCCAAGUUAACAAACAAAUCACUGACCAUUUCGAAUCCCACCGUACCUUCUCCUCUGUGCAGUCUGGUUUCCGAGCUGGUCACGGGUGCAUCUCAGCCACGCUCAAGGUGCUAAACGAUAUCAUAACCGCCAUCGAUAAAAGACAGCACUGUGCAGCCGUCUUCAUUGACCUGGCCAAGACUUUUGAAUCUGUCAAUCACCGUAUUCUUAUCGGCAGGUUCAACAGCCUUGGUUUCUCAAAUGACUGCCUCGCCUGGUUCACCAACUACUUCUCAGAUAGAGUUCAGUGUGUCAAAUCAGAGGGCCUGUUGU